rnacentral:rRNA from 1 species
UACGAAGGGUGCAAACGUUGCUCGGAAUUAUGGGCGUAAAGCGCACGUAGGCGGCUUUUCAAGUCCCAUGUGAAAUCCCACGGCUUAACCGUGGAAGUGCAUGGGAAACUGGAAAGCUUGAGUACUUAAGAGGAUCGCGGAAUUCCCGGUGUAGAGGUGAAAUUCGUAGAUAUCGGGAGGAACACCAGUGGCGAAGGCGGCGAUCUGGGAAGAGUACUGACGCUGAGGUGCGAAAGCGUGGGGAGCAAACAGGG